AAAGAGGAUAGGGUGCUUGUUUUUCUUUCUUGAAAAAUAAAUGUACCUGAUAAAUCAAUAGCCUAUCUGAUGCCACUGGCUAUGAGAUUUGAAGCAAUACUGAAUUCUUGAAGCUAGGAGGGAGUGUUAAAGAUAGAGUGGCAACGAAGAUUAUCGAAGAGUACCACUCCAUGUAUUCAUCCUCUAGUGGUUUGGAGAAAUGGGUUGUAAAGAUUGAGCAACCCAUAGACAUCUUUCUCACGAUACCCAUUG